UACGUAGGGUGCGAGCGUUGUCCGGAAUUAUUGGGCGUAAGCGCACGUAGGCGGCUUGUAAGUUAGAGGUGAAGCCUGGAGCUCACUCCAGAAUUGCCUUAAGACUGCAUCGCUUGAAUCCAGGAGAGGUGAGUGGAAUUCCGAGUGUAGAGGUGAAAUUCGUAGAUAUUCGCAAGAACACCAGUGGCGAAGGCGGCUCACUGGCCCGGUACUGACGCUGAGGUGCGAAAGCGUGGGAGCAAACAGG
rnacentral:rRNA from 1 species